rnacentral:rRNA from 1 species
GGGUUGUGAGGUUAAGCGACUAAGCGUACACGGUGGAUGCCCUGGCAGUCAGAGGCGAUGAAGGGCGUGCUAAUCUGCGAUAAGCGCCGGUAAGGUGAUAUGAACCGUUAUAACCGGCGAUACCCGAAUGGGGAAACCCAGUGUGACUCGUCACACUAUCAUUAACUGAAUCCAUAGGUUAAUGAGGCGAACCGGGGGAACUGAAACAUCUAAGUACCCCGAGGAAAAGAAAUCAACCGAGAUUCCCCCAGUAGCGGCGAGCGAACGGGGAGGAGCCCAGAGCCUGAAUCAGCAUGUGUGUUAGUGGAAGCGUCUGGAAAGGCGCGCGAUACAGGGUGACAGCCCCGUACACAAAAGCGCAUGUGCUGUGAGCUCGAUGAGUAGGGCGGGACACGUGGUAUCCUGUCUGAAUAUGGGGGGACCAUCCUCCAAGGCUAAAUACUCCUGACUGACCGAUAGUGAACCAGUACCGUGAGGGAAAGGCGAAAAGAACCCCGGCGAGGGGAGUGAAAAAGAACCUGAAACCGUGUACGUACAAGCAGUGGGAGCNNGUGACUGCGUACCUUUUGUAUAAUGGGUCAGCGACUUAUAUUCUGUAGCAAGGUUAACCGAAUAGGGGAGCCGGAGGGAAACCGAGUCUUAACCGGGCGUUAAGUUGCAGGGUAUAGACCCGAAACCCGGUGAUCUAGCCAUGGGCAGGUUGAAGGUUGGGUAACACUAACUGGAGGACCGAACCGACUAAUGUUGAAAAAUUAGCGGAUGACCUGUGGCUGGGGGUGAAAGGCCAAUCAAACCGGGAGAUAGCUGGUUCUCCCCGAAAGCUAUUUAGGUAGCGCCUCGUGAAUUCAUCUCCGGGGGUAGAGCACUGUUUCGGCUAGGGGGCCAUCCCGGCUUACCAACCCGAUGCAAACUGCGAAUACCGGAGAAUGUUAUCACGGGAGACACACGGCGGGUGCUAACGUCCGUCGUGAAGAGGGAAACAACCCAGACCGCCAGCUAAGGUCCCAAAGUCAUGGUUAAGUGGGAAACGAUGUGGGAAGGCCCAGACAGCCAGGAUGUUGGCUUAGAAGCAGCCAUCAUUUAAAGAAAGCGUAAUAGCUCACUGGUCGAGUCGGCCUGCGCGGAAGAUGUAACGGGGCUAAACCAUGCACCGAAGCUGCGGCAGGUUGGGUAGGGGAGCGUUCUGUAAGCCUGUGAAGGUGGCCUGUGAGGGUUGCUGGAGGUAUCAGAAGUGCGAAUGCUGACAUAAGUAACGAUAAAGCGGGUGAAAAGCCCGCUCGCCGGAAGACCAAGGGUUCCUGUCCAACGUUAAUCGGGGCAGGGUGAGUCGACCCCUAAGGCGAGGCCGAAAGGCGUAGUCGAUGGGAAACGGGUUAAUAUUCCCGUACUUGGUGUUACUGCGAAGGGGGGACGGAGAAGGCUAUGUUGGCCGGGCGACGGUUGUCCCGGUUUAAGCGUGUAGGUGUGUGUUCCAGGUAAAUCCGGUUCACUUUAACACUGAGGCGUGAUGACGAGGCACUACGGUGCUGAAGCAACAAAUGCCCUGCUUCCAGGAAAAGCCUCUAAGCAUCAGGUAACAUCAAAUCGUACCCCAAACCGACACAGGUGGUCAGGUAGAGAAUACCAAGGCGCUUGAGAGAACUCGGGUGAAGGAACUAGGCAAAAUGGUGCCGUAACUUCGGGAGAAGGCACGCUGACACGUAGGUGAAGUGAUUUACUCAUGGAGCUGAAGUCAGUCGAAGAUACCAGCUGGCUGCAACUGUUUAUUAAAAACACAGCACUGUGCAAACACGAAAGUGGACGUAUACGGUGUGACGCCUGCCCGGUGCCGGAAGGUUAAUUGAUGGGGUCAGCGCAAGCGAAGCUCCUGAUCGAAGCCCCGGUAAACGGCGGCCGUAACUAUAACGGUCCUAAGGUAGCGAAAUUCCUUGUCGGGUAAGUUCCGACCUGCACGAAUGGCGUAAUGAUGGCCAGGCUGUCUCCACCCGAGACUCAGUGAAAUUGAACUCGCUGUGAAGAUGCAGUGUACCCGCGGCAAGACGGAAAGACCCCGUGAACCUUUACUAUAGCUUGACACUGAACAUUGAGCCUUGAUGUGUAGGAUAGGUGGGAGGCUUUGAAGCGUGGACGCCAGUCUGCGUGGAGCCGACCUUGAAAUACCACCCUUUAAUGUUUGAUGUUCUAACGUGGACCCGUAAUCCGGGUUGCGGACAGUGUCUGGUGGGUAGUUUGACUGGGGCGGUCUCCUCCUAAAGAGUAACGGAGGAGCACGAAGGUUGGCUAAUCCUGGUCGGACAUCAGGAGGUUAGUGCAAUGGCAUAAGCCAGCUUGACUGCGAGCGUGACGGCGCGAGCAGGUGCGAAAGCAGGUCAUAGUGAUCCGGUGGUUCUGAAUGGAAGGGCCAUCGCUCAACGGAUAAAAGGUACUCCGGGGAUAACAGGCUGAUACCGCCCAAGAGUUCAUAUCGACGGCGGUGUUUGGCACCUCGAUGUCGGCUCAUCACAUCCUGGGGCUGAAGUAGGUCCCAAGGGUAUGGCUGUUCGCCAUUUAAAGUGGUACGCGAGCUGGGUUUAGAACGUCGUGAGACAGUUCGGUCCCUAUCUGCCGUGGGCGCUGGAGAACUGAGGGGGGCUGCUCCUAGUACGAGAGGACCGGAGUGGACGCAUCACUGGUGUUCGGGUUGUCAUGCCAAUGGCACUGCCCGGUAGCUAAAUGCGGAAGAGAUAAGUGCUGAAAGCAUCUAAGCACGAAACUUGCCCCGAGAUGAGUUCUCCCUGAGACUUUAGGUCUCCUGAAGGAACGUUGAAGACGACGACGUUGAUAGGCCGGGUGUGUAAGCGCAGCGAUGCGUUGAGCUAACCGGUACUAAUGAACCGUGAGGCUUAACCUUACAACGCCGAAG